rnacentral:rRNA from 1 species
UGGGCCUACGGGAGGCAGCAGUGAGGAAUAUUGGUCAAUGGUCGGGAGACUGAACCAGCCAAGCCGCGGGAGGGAUGAAGGUACAGAGUAUCGUAAACCUCUUUUGUCAGGGAACAAAGGCGGGGACGUGUCCCCGGAUGAGUGUACCUGAAGAAAAAGCAUCGGCUAACUCCGUGCCAGCAGCCGCGGUAAUACGGAGGAUGCGAGCGUUAUCCGGAUGUAUUGGGUUUAAAGGGUGCGGAGGCGGUCUGUUAAGGCAGCGGUCAAA